rnacentral:tRNA from 1 species
GUUCUUGUGGCGCAAUGGUUAAGUGCUUGGUUGCUAACCAAAAGGUUGGUGGUUCAAAACCACCCAGCAACU